rnacentral:lncRNA from 1 species
GGUUGGGGAACCCUCCUAACCAAGUCAGAUCCUGGAUCGUGGAUAUUUUUCUCAGCUACUGGUGAUUCCUGGGGCUACUAAGCAGGAGGAGAUUCUGAUCCAGCUGAAGUUGCCAUGUAAUCCUGUGGAAUCACGCUACUAUUCUGAUUCCUCUGAUUAUAAGUGACUGCAACAACAAAAAAGAUUGCUCUGCUUAACUGUUGCCACAGUGUCUCUAGGGGACUGGUUUGCUUUGGUCUGUACAUUCCCCAAAGGCAAGCUGAGACCAUGUAAAUUAAAGAGAGAGAGCUGGUGACAACCAGCUCUGUGGUUUUAUUUGAUUUUCCAGAACACAUGUCCAUCAGCAUGUUGUAGACAACACAAUAUGAUUAAAGCCCAGCAAUAAUCACCUCUAUAUUGCAUUUUAAUUGGUAUAAUGUAUGACGAAUAGUUAAGUGGGAACCACCAGGUAUGCUUUUACCUUUGAGCA